rnacentral:tRNA from 1 species
GCGGAUAUGGCGGAAUUGGCAGACGCGUAUGAUUCAGGUUCAUAUAUCAAUAGAUGUGAAGGUUCAAAUCCUUUUAUCCGCACCA